rnacentral:rRNA from 1 species
AUGGACAAGUUUCUUCUCAAAAGAAAAGCAUCAUCACAGGAUGUUCCGGAAGACAUAAAUUGGUAAGAGGAGAUUCAAUAUGAUCCGGGCAAGACAAAAUUGAUAGAGCAUUAUCAUCCUAAUUUAGAAGAUCUGGUAAGAAUGAAGUAUUUGUUGAAUGGACCUUGUCAGCCAUGAGAGAUUGAUUUUGAAUCCUCAGAUUUUGGGGGUAAACAGAGAAAGUUCAAUCCCGAAUGGUUUGAUGAAUUUGAGAGCUGGGAUCGUAGUCAGAACAAAGAAGCUGGAUAUGAGGCAUUCGUUGUGAAUGGUUGGAAGAGCUGGAACAUGAAAUCAAGGUUAAAAGAACAUGUUGGUGAGGUGGGCAGUGUCCAUAAUCAAGCAAUGAAAAACUUACUUGAUUUUUAGAAAAAAGAUCAACACAUUGAUGUUGCUAUGCAGGUUCAAGGUGAAACUUUGAAGGUUGCAUAUUUUGCUCGAUUGAAUGCCGCUAUUGACACAGCUAGACUAUUGCUGAAGCAAGGGUUGCCUUUCCGGGGACAUGAUGAGCCAAAGAACUCGCACAAUAGAGGAAACUUCUUGGAAGUUCGUGAAUUCUUAGCUGAGCAUGAUCCAGUUGUACACAAGGUUGUGGGAAAAGAUGCUGCAAAAAAUUCUCUUAUGUCUGCUCCUCAAGUCCAGAAAGGUAUUGGUGAAGGUUUUGCGCAUGUGAUAGUGCAAUCUAUUCUGAAAGAAGUUCGCAAUAAUGUGUUUUGUUUGCUUGUUGACGAGUCUAGAGAUGUCUCUGGCAAAGAACAAAUGGCCGUGGCCUUGAGGUAUGUUGAUAGUUCCGGGGAUUCUAAAGAAAGUUUUGUUGGUCUUGUCCGUGUGAAAGAAACAACGUCUUCAUACCUCAAGAGUAUUCUCUUUUUGCAAAAUAUAAAUUGA